rnacentral:rRNA from 1 species
UGAGUUUGAUCCUGGCUCAGGACGAACGCUGGCGGCGUGCCUAACACAUGCAAGUCGAGCGAAGCACUUUGGGUAGCUUGCUACCUGAUUUGACUGAGCGGCGAACGGGUGAGUAACACGUGGGUAAUCUGCCUGGAAGUCAGGGAUAACAGUUGGAAACGGCUGCUAAUACCGGAUGAUGUUAUAGCUGUAGAGGCUAUAACCAAAGCGCUACGUAGCGCUUCCAGAUGAGCCCGCGUCCCAUUAGCUAGUUGGUGGGGUAAUGGCCUACCAAGGCGACGAUGGGUAGCCGGUCUGAGAGGAUGGACGGCCACACUGGGACUGAGACACGGCCCAGACUCCUACGGGAGGCAGCAGUGGGGAAUUUUGCGCAAUGGGGGCAACCCUGGCGCAGCGACGCCGCGUGAGUGAC